ensembl:lncRNA
GUGUUCCUCUUCCUAAUUCUGAGGGGUUUUCAAGGCUGGAUUUUGGACCUGGCUCAAUUGCUUUACUUCAUGUUCAUGGCUGUACGCAUACCUGUUGUGUCACUGGCCUGGUCUUGUGCAGGUUGUGCCAGUCCUGAGUGCUGCCCUGUUCUGGCUUUGUCUUGUUGCUCCUUCACACUGAGGGCUAUUGAGGAAGCUCUCUCUUUGCAUAGAGAGCCAGAGCGGGGCACUGAAGAGUCUUCCAGCUCCUGCAGAAGGAAAGUAGACUGUAUUAUGAAGGGACAGUGAAGCAGAAGAAGCUUGGGGAAGCAGAGCUGUGCCCUCAGAGCUGGUCUUCUCCCCAACUUCCUUUGUUUGGCCAUGCAGCAAUCCCCAGGCAAGCAGGAUUGAUGUGUGGGACAAAAAAAGAAACAUAGAGGUGCCUAUAUGCUUUAUGGAUGCUCUUUCUUUUCUGCUUGCUGAGCACUGAGGGACUAUGCUGCCCAAACAGACAUCAGUGAGUUCACAGGAGGAGCUGAAGUACAUCCUUCCUGCUUGCAUCCCUCUCUGUGCCUCGUGGUUUUUUGAAGAGCCCGUAGGGUGACCUCAACCGUGAGGAAUGGAGAAGGACUGAGUGAAAAGGCACUCUACCUUGGGGUGUGACACACCAUCUAAAGGACAGGAUUCUUCUUGUCUGCGUGAUUAAAUGCCAUGGCAACUUAAGACAAGCAUUCCUGCAGCUGGGAG